rnacentral:tRNA from 1 species
GCCGGCCUAGCUCAAUUGGUAGAGCAACUGACUUGUAAUCAGUAGGUUGCGGGUUCAAGUCCUCUGGCCGGCACCA